CGCCCGUCAAACCACGAAAGUCAGCAAUACCCAAAGCCGGUGGCCUAACCGUAAGGAGGGAGCCGUUUAAGGUAGGGUUGGUGAUUGGGGUUAAGUCGUAACAAGGUAUCCCUACCGGAAGGUGGGGAUGGAUCACCUCCUUUCUAAGGAGAAAGGCAUUAAAAAUGCAACAACCAAAUUACUCAUCAUAUUCAGUUUUGAAAGACCUAAUAAGUUUUUCAGCAGUUAAGAUUAGAUCUUUGAAAAGUAGAUAAAAUUCUGUUAAAAGAAAAGAAAUAUAGGUUAAGGAACAAAGGGCGCACAGUGAAUGCCUUGGCACUAAGAGCCGAUGAAGGACGCAACUAACAGCGAAAUUCCAUGGGAAGCGGUAAGUACGCGAUGAUCCAUGGGUGUCCGAAUGGGGGAACCCACCAUGUGGAAGACAUGGUAUCCAGCAAUGGAAGGGAAACGCAGUGAACUGAAAUAUCUAAUUAGCUGCAGGAAAAGAAAGUAAAAACGAUUCUGCUAGUAGCGACGAGCGAACGCGGAGGAGCCAGAUACUAUAAUAGUUACAAAACUUUAUGUGAGAAGAAUAACUUGGGAAGGUUAACCAAAGAAGGUGAAAGUCCUGUAAUCGAAGCGUAAAGACUAGGGUAUCAGAAAGUACGGCGAGACACGAGAAAUCUUGUCGGAAGAUGCGAGGACCAUCUCGUAAGGCUAAAUACUACUUAGUGACCGAUAGUGAACCA
rnacentral:sRNA from 2 species